CCUACGGGUGGCAGCAGUGAGGAAUAUUGGUCAAUGGACGCAAGUCUGAACCAGCCAUGCCGCGUGCAGGAAGACGGCUCUAUGGGUUGUAAACUGCUUUUGUACGAGGGUAAACGCAGAUACGCGUAUCUGUCUGAAAGUAUCUUACGAAUAAGGAUCGGCUAACUCCGUGCCAGCAGCCGCGGUAAUACGGAGGAUUCAAGCGUUAUCCGGAUUUAUUGGGUUUAAAGGGUGCGUAGGCGGUCGGAUAAGUUAGAGGUGAAAUUCCGAGGCUCAACUUCGUAAUUGCCUCUGAUACUGUUCGGCUUGAGAGUAGUUGCGGUAGGCGGAAUGUAUGGUGUAGCGGUGAAAUGCUUAGAGAUCAUACAGAACACCGAUUGCGAAGGCAGCUUACCAAGCUACCUCUGACGUUGAUGCACGAAAGCGUGGGGAGCAAACAGGAUUAGAUACCCGAGUAGUC
rnacentral:rRNA from 1 species